AGCUCGGGCAGGGAGGGGUUAACCUCCGGCCUGUGGGGGCAGGGAGGGAUCCGGCCGCUCCCCCAGUCAGUUCCUGGCUUUGGCUUCCACAGCAGCGGCCUCCUCUGCUGCCAAGGACAGCCGGGGGACCUGGCAGGCCCGGGCUGCAACCCGGUGGUUUGGCACCUGGGCCACUGGCUGGGCGGGCGGCCAGGCCAGCGAGGCGGCCUGGGCCAGGCCCCAGGGCCGGCUGAAUGGAGCGCGGACCCCGAUCCUCGUCCAUCCCAAGGAGGUGGCCAGGGUGCAGGCAGCUGCCAGGGCGGGUGGAGGAGGGUCCAGGGUCACCCCGCGCCCCCCUGCCCUGCCCACUGCCCAGGGCCAGCUUACUCACCAUCACAUAAUGACGCUGCAUCUCGGACUUCUCGCUGGCCAGCUUGUCACAUUCGAGCUUCAGGCUGGAAAAGAACAAGAUGGGGGGGGGGGUGGACUGAGCCCCCUGUUGUGCGGGGAGAAAGCCAUGUCCCCCUCUGUGAAGAGAGGAGGGGAGGGGAGGGGACGUGUGUGCCCUCAGGCUCCCUAAGUGUAAACCGGGGAUCCUGCAAUCAGCCUUGUGGCUCUGGUGGCGGAGAGAGUAACGGGAAUAACACAGAUAAGCAGAGUCGAGCAAACACUCCGGGUCAGCCGGGGACUCCGAGAAACUUCUCUGCGCUCCAGACGCUCGAUGAGAUCAGAGAUACCAGCGUCAUCCUCGUUUCACAGAUGAUGCAACGGAUGCCCAGAGAGAAUCUGUCUUGGAACCUGUCUGCGCAGGCCAACAGGCCUAGAGAGCUGCUGGGGUCUGCGACCGUGACUGAGGACUCCGGCCCCAUUCCCAGGCAAAGCCCCCCGCCCCCCAACAGCCUUGAGAAUCUGCGUUCCCCAACCCAGAGACUACGGGCACAUCUCGGCCUGGUCUCCGUGCUGUGCAUCCCCAGGAAAUCUCUGCCCUCUCUGGGCUUGACGCUCUUAAAGCAGGAGACAAAGACAGCGCCGACCCCCCGCCCCCAUGCUGCACUGGGCAAGCCCUUUACGGCGCCAGAACGUUAAAUUCUGGGGAAUGUUUUCUUUCCGGGGUGGGGGGUCCAUCCUCCACCCGCUCCUUGGGAGGUCUUUUAUCCACGGGGGAUGGGGGUGGGGGUGGGGAGACGGCUCUGAAGCCACACAGCCCCAGUCUCUGGACAAAUAAUUUAACUUUCUGUGCCUCAGGCUUCUUACCAGUGAAAUGGGUUGUCUUGAAGUCUACGAGUUUAAUAUCCGGAAAGUGCUCAGGACAGGGCCUACCCCGUACCAGGAGGCUCUCGGCCUCCAUUUCUUCAAAUAGGUGUAUAAAGCAGUAACCACCCCCCAGGCCUGGGGGGCCUCCCCCCCCACUGCCCGGGCCUCUGGCCCCCAGCUCACCUGUGGUACUGAGCCUGCAGCAGCUGAAACUCGUCUUUGAUGCGGUCGCAGGAGUCCGAGGUGGUGAAUUUGAGUUGUUGGGGUAGGUGAGAGGAGCCCUGCGGGGAGGGGGCGGCCGGGUCAGGGCCCCGCGGGGCGGGGUGACCCCCGGGGCAGGCGCAGCUGCAGCGCCCCCCCCUCGCCCCGCUUCCCGGGCCCGUGUUUACAGCCCCUGGCGCGGCCCCCGCCCUCGCUUCCUGCCCCCGCCUCUC
rnacentral:lncRNA from 1 species